AGGGUUGUGGCUCAGUGGUACAGCACUUGCCUAGCAUGCAUGAAACACUGGGUUCAAUCCCUGGCAUCACAU
rnacentral:tRNA from 1 species